rnacentral:rRNA from 1 species
CGAACGCUGACUUCGGUMGAGUGGCGCACGGGUGAGUAACACGUGGGAACCUACCCUUCGGUGCGGAACAACCCAGGGAAACUUGGGCUAAUACCGCAUACGACCUUCGGGUGAAAGAUUCAUCGCCGAGGGAAGGGCCCGCGUCCGAUUAGGUAGUUGGUGGGGUAACGGCCUACCAAGCCAUCGAUCGGUACCUGGUCUGAGAGGAUGAUCAGGCACACUGGGACUGAGACACGGCCCAGACUCCUACGGGAGGCAGCAGUGGGGAAUAUUGGACAAUGGGCGAAAGCCUGAUCCAGCCAUGCCGCGUGAGUGAUGAAGGCCUUCGGGUUGUAAAGCUCUUUCACCCACGACGAUGAUGACGGUAGUGGGAGAAGAAGCCCCGGCUAACUUCGUGCCAGCAGCCGCGGUAAUACGAAGGGGGCAAGCGUUGUUCGGAAUGACUGGGCGUAAAGGGCGCGUAGGCGGUGCGUUGCGUCAGAU